ensembl:lncRNA
CUGAAACUUACUCCUCCUAACCCAAUUUUGGUCCUUGUUCCCCAUCCUCCUUCCACACCCCUCCCUCAUCCUUCCCAGCCUUUAGAAUAAUGAUCCUGCUCUCUACUUGUAUGACAUCAAUGUUUUCAGCUUUCACGUGUGAGUGAGAUCAUGUGCUAUUUGUCUUGCUGAGCCAGGCUUAUUUCAUUUAAUAUAAUGUCUUCCAGACCUACCCAUGUGGAAAUUGGCUUUUUCUGAAGGCUUUAGGUCACCUUACAGCUUGGUUUGGCUGAGAUAAAUGCAUAAGCUUUCUGCAGAGGCAUAUGUCAAAGGAGAGUUGGUUUCUGAGGAGUUAAUUGGAAUUCCCUUAGCGGUCCCCUGGCACUGGUCUGAACACUGCUCAUCCCCAGUAGAUUGUCAUUAACCGGGGGACCAGGCAGACUGAAACAGCCUCUGAUAGCUAAUUUAUUAACUUCUCCAGGAUGAAGAGAUGAGAGCAGGCUGAGCUACUUGGAUGUACUUCGAGGGAUUUGGAGUAGAAAGUCCUGGGGUUCAUGGUUUCAUGACCCUAAUUUAAAUAAAUUAACAGUUUCUCCUGGUCUCAACAAAGAUUGGGAUGACAGUGUUGUUUUCCUUUCUAGCAGGUUUAUUUGGGGAAUAAUUGAUGUGCACAAUCUGAUGAGUUUGGACAUACAUACACCAACGAUACCAUCACCACAAUCAAGAAAUACAGAAAGCCACUGAAGAAUUUAAGCAGGAGGAGGACUUGAUGUAAUUUGAAUUCCAAAAAGCUCAUUCUGCCAUACAGCAAACGGAGAUCUCACAAUUUGCAUGGACAGCCUGGUGAGGAGGCCCUUGCAGCGAUUCUGAUUCAUUUCGUGUCUCUUGAAUUAGAGUCAUAGCGAUGGAGAUGAUUAUAGUCACUGUGGGAUGAGCAGCUGUCUUCCAGCAAGCCCUUCCAGCAUGCCAUUUCUGCCUUGGAGCCAGUCAACUUUAAACUGAACCCACUGGAAACUGAAAUGAGGAACAUGGAAGAUAUUUUCUGCUGAAUCUGUGGGGCUACAACACACACUGCCAGCAGGGCCAUGUGAUCACGCUGGCACUAUGAUUCUGGUUGGUGUUCAAGGUUGUAUUAAUUCUUUGCCCAGGGCUUCCUUCUGCCGGAAAGGUAAGGCUGGCCAGACCCUUUCAGAAGUGCUUUAAAUGCCACAUGCUUUUCUCCUGCUUUUGCAAGCUAACUGUAAUCUGGGGCUGUAUUCCACUGCUGCAUCUCUUACCAGACUUACCUUAAAUUACCAUGGCUGAGCAUAUUUUUCUCCUCAAGAAGACCACAAUUACUGUGAAGGCCUUCUCUGUGCAUGACUCAUCACCCUAAUCUCCUUGCUGUCGUGAUGCAUGGAUCUUAGGAGGACUUCUAUAAGUAUUUGCUGUGAAUAAAUAAAUGAAUGAAUAAAUGAAAAGCUAAUGGCUUGGGUGAUUAAGGGUGAAUUAGUCUGAGAGGAGAGACAACCAGCAUUUGCAGAAAACAAAUGAAAGUUCAUAGUUCCCUGUUAGAAUAUCAAAGCCACAAGGUAUGAAAAAAACUAUCUGGAAGACAGGGCUGCUAUCUGAGCCUAUGAACCGGGAAGAAUUCUGGGUUGUCAAAAAAAUCAAACUGGGCUUGGUGGCACACAUUUAUAAUUCCAACACUCUAGGAAGAUGCAGGAAGAUUCCAAAUUUGUGCCCUGCCUGGGCAAUUUAGGGACUUAGGAAGACUCUGACUCAAAAAAUAUACAUAUAAGGUAAGGGAUAUAGCUCAGUGCAAAAGGCC